UACGUAGGCAGCAAGCGUUGUUCGGAGUUACUGGGCGUAAAGGGUGCGUAGGCGGUCUGUCGCGUCUGCUGUGAAAAUCCGGGGCUCAACCCCGGACUUGCAGUGGGUACGGGCAGACUAGAGUGUGGUAGGGGAGACUGGAAUUCCUGGUGUAGCGGUGAAAUGCGCAGAUAUCAGGAGGAACACCGGUGGCGAAGGCGGGUCUCUGGGCCGAUACUGACGCUGAGGAGCGAAAGCGUGGGGAGCGAACAGG
rnacentral:rRNA from 1 species